GACGAACGCUGGUGGCGUGCCUAAUACAUGCAAGUCGAACGCAGUGGGGACGGGUGAGUAACACGUGGGUAACCUCCCAUCAGAGGGGAUAACACUUGCACACAGGUGCUAAACCGCUACUGAUGGAUGGACCCUCGGUGCAUUAGCUAGUUGGUGAGGUAACGGCUCACCAAGGCAACGAUGCAUAGACAACCUGAGAGGGUGAACGACAACUCUGGGACGGAGAAACGGCCCAGACUCCGACAGGAGAGAGCAGUAGGGAAUCUUGGGCAAUGGACGAAAGUCUAACCGAGCAACGCCGCGAGAGUGAAGAAGGUUUUCGGAUCGUAAAACUCUGUUGUUAGAGAAGCGGUAUCUAACCAGAAAGCCACGGCUAACUACGUGCCAGCAGCCACGGUAAUAC
rnacentral:rRNA from 1 species